rnacentral:misc_RNA from 1 species
CGCCGAGGAGGAGGAGCACCUUCCGCUCACAC